rnacentral:tRNA from 1 species
GUUUACAUAAUUUAUAAAGAAUAUUGUGUUGAAGCCGCAAAGGAGACAGAAUUGUCUGUAAACA